rnacentral:lncRNA from 1 species
GCAUCCUCUGUUAAGCUUGAAAGCAUCAGAGAUAGUGAACGAUGUGUCUGUGGAGCUUUUGUGAGGCCAGCUGAGCACCCUUGGAAAGUAGAGCAGGAGCUGAAAUUCAUUCAGAGACUUAAGAAUUAAGUAAGAGAUUUAAAUAAGAUCUGUGAGAUCUGUGAGCUGUUCAGGGUUUGGUGAUAGAUGGUAAAAUGGAAUGCUUAGGGAUAUUCAAGGAAGAGAAAGAAAUUUUCAACCAGGAACGAAACAGGCAUUUCUACUGCAAUUCAUACUUUAAAAACCUUCUUUUAUCAAAUUUUUAUUUUAUAUAUCUCAAAAUUUAAUCAAUUGGUAUGAUUGCCUUCUUUUCCACGCUUGCUAUGAAAAACAGAUGAAUUGUGCCGAUGUUAUUACUGGGUUUCUCCUAAAUUUUUGUUGUAUUUCUUUUUCGGCUUUAGAGAGUUCUGAUUUUAGUUAGCAAAAGAAAAAUAAAACUUCUCUAGGUAUGCAUAUGGUUGUAUACACAUUAUUCUUAUCUACAUAUAAUAUAUCCUGUUUGUAUCAGGAUAUAAUUUUUGUAUAGUUACAUGCAAGACUGCCUUGAAAGUUCAGAUGACCAUUACAUUCUUUAAACCCAUAGUUUUUAGUUUCUUGUUAGUUUCUCUAAAAUUAUUUUUUACAGACCUUAAAUUUGUAAUGCCUUAUCAUAGCCAGAGGUGAAUUUUGUUGAAACUUGGAGAAAAAUUUAUUCCACCCCUUUAAGCGUACCCAAAAGGGAAGAGAGAACUAUUUUUCGUUCAACAAAAAAUUUUAAAAGCCUUUUUUCCUUCAGCGGAAAACUCCAAAACAGCUUUGUCUCAGAACGUUAAACUUGGCAUGGAUAAAAAAAUUUGAGUUUUGCUUUGUUUGAGGAAAUUUGUUUUUGAAACAACAAUGUUAUAAAUAUUUUUAAAUUGCCUGCUGAGCAUGCGCUGUAUCUGACUUUAUUCAUAGUUUUAAACACACACCAAAGUGCAGUCUUCUGAAUGGCCACAGGUAAGGCUGUUGAUUUGUAUGAUCUUUCGCAGAGGCACCUUCUGUGAGUCUACUCAGUUUUCCAGAAGGGAAAAAGGCGAGAGCUGAGUUUAGACCUGGACACCUUUCUAAAUAUCAUAGAGCAAAAGUAAAUUGCCCCAUUAAGGCUUGCACAUUACACUUAGGGUAAGUACUGUUCAACUUUCCUUUUUUAUAGGAGUUGCCUGCCUUAACUUUUCAGCUUAAUACGAGCAGCGUAAAUUAAGAAAAAAAAUUAACUCAAUCAGUUAUUUCACUGAAAUAGAAAAUUUGCAGAUUUUAAAGGGUAUCUAUUGUGCAUAAAUUUGGGGAUACGAGAAUUUGCCAGUGAAAUGAUAGCAGCUCUGUGCUUACAGAGCAAAGAUGUGCUAGUCUGAACAUGCCUGAUCUCAUCUGGAAUCGAAAGCUAAAUCUAGGUGGGCCUGUAAUAAUACCAGAAAAGGAACACAUGUAUCUUUUGUGCAACCUUUUUUUUUUUUUUUUUUUAAAGCUAGGCUUCCAAAGGGAAUGACAAAGAAGCAGGUUCUCCUCUUGCUUAAUAAGUAGUCAUAGUUUGCCUCUGGAGAUAUGUAUUUCCAGUUGUUUUAGUUGUUUUGUUUUGUUUUGUUUUGUUGUUGUCAUCGCUAUCGAAGAAUAUUCUUUCCUGUCAGUGAUUAUUAACACUUUCCGUUUUUCAGAAUGCUUUAACUCUGUUUGAUGUUUCCUCACUUGGUUACCUUUCUCAAGUCUGCGAUGACCCUCUCAGGCUUUGCCAUUCUUAUCGAUUCUUACCAGAAUGUACUUACUCAUUAGCUGUUUUGUUAUAGUUAUGGUGGAGAUAAUCUUGUUUUUCAGGCUUUUAUAACUAACCAAACAAAUUACCUUUUGAGGUGAAAUUUCUCAUAGUUAUCCUUGACACAGAACUGAACUUGUCUUGAAAAGGCUUGAAGAAAAUCCAAUUAGCCGUUUUUUGAGAACUGAAUAUUCUAAUAAAUGCAAAUGGAUUAUUUUACAAAAUACUUAUUGAUGUGCAAUGCUUUUCUAAUCUGUUUUUCUUUUCGUGCUUUAAAACAGACCCUGAAAAUUAAAUGUAUUAAAAAGAAAGAAAGAAAAAGAAAGAAACCUGCCAGGUUAAUACUGAUAUUUUAAAUACCCAAUUUAAAAUAAUGCUCAAAGUUUGAAUUUCUUUGCAACAUAUCACCUUUCAGUGUCAGUCAGUAAUACCUGGGCAGGUAUAUAUAUACAUUCACACCCACAGGGAAACAUGAAUCCACUUUACAGUUACAUUAAUUCUAUUUUAACCUACAAGAGAAAAGGUUAGCAUUACUGUAAAACUUUUGUUAAUUCAUUAUAUUUUAUUUUUCUGUAAUAAAAAAUUCACUGAACUAUUGCUUUCAUCCAAUUAUAUAUAUACUUAACACCCAUUUAUAUUCAAAUAUUUUAUCUUAAUUUAUGAAGUAUUUUUAUAAGUCUUAUAUGCUGCUGAAUUUUAUGCAGCUAUAUGAACGUUUAAGUUUUUUCUGAUACAAUUUGCUUUGUUCCGAAUCUGUUACUGUGUUAGAAGUUUUUUUCUUUCCCAAUCUAGAAAGAGUAUGGCCAUCUUUUCCUAUAUGUGAUAUCUAUACAUCUUCAGUAUUCUGAAGAAGAGAUUUUUUAACCUGCAAUCUCUUGGAAAGCUUUCAAACAAGUGGGAGAAGUAAUCUUUACUUUGCUUCUCCUUGAUCCAUCUGUUUGCCCUCACUGUACCACCCGUCACCACCAGCAACCCUGAAAAAAACAACAGUAAUAAAUAUGAUACGAUAAUUUUUCUGAUCACAGAACCAGGAAAUACCAGAGAAAAUUGUGGCAUAUGUAGGAAAAUGCCAAGAGCUUCUCCAGUAAGAUCAGCUGUUUUUAUACUUUUUUUUUUUCCUCUUGAAUUUUGUUUGUGACUUUUUUGGCUUGCUGAAGCACAUCCCCAUAAUCUUACGAAGCCACAGCAAAUUCCCAAUGCCACAACAAUACUGUGCAGCCGGGGAGAGGCCAGAAGAGCUGAUCCUGGGUGGCUGCAGGCUUCCCCAGCAAUGGUGCAAGGCAGGAGGAUGUGUAAUCUGGUCUAAAUUUGAAGAAGAGGGCAAGUAUAGCAUUUUUAUCUAGCUUGAAUAUGGCAUGGUAAUUCUGUAUUAAUGAGGUCAAUGGUAAAUGCAGUUCAGCUACACAUUUCUGUUUUUCCAGACAUACAAACACAUUCUGUGGAAAUAGAAAAUGUCUAAAAAAUGGAAAUGAUGAAAUAACUUGAGACAUGACAAAUCGCUUAACCUAUCUGUGUAAUAGUGUAUUUGUCAAAUAAAUAGAAAACCAUCUAUCCUCAUCUACUUCACAGCAGUAUUGCUAAGGCUGAUUGUGCACACAUAUAUUAAUGUAUAUAUCGUAGCUAUCUAUUUACAGCAGGGGAGAAUGGUUUUAAAAUAAAUGAAUCAGAGUUUUAUGUGUGCAUCCAUUGUGAAGAAUUCAGUUGUGUCCUUACCGUAGGAAGACAGGGUUAACUGAGAGUUUUGAGAGUUGUGGUAUGUGCUUUUCCAUUUGGGUCUGGG